UGGGGAAUUUUGCGCAAUGGGCGAAAGCCUGACGCAGCAACGCCGCGUGGAGGAUGAAGGUCUUUGGAUUGUAAACUCCUGUCAGCAGGGAAAAAGGCACCUGGCCACACCAGGUGAUUGAUUGUACCUGCAGAGGAAGCCCCGGCUAACUCUGUGCCAGCAGCCGCGGUAAUACAGAGGGGGCGAGCGUUAUUCGGAAUUAUUGGGCGUAAAGGGCGCGUAGGCGGCGAGGCAAGUGGAAGGUGAAAUCCCCGGGCUCAACCUGGGAACUGCCCUCCAAACUGCUUUGCUUGAGUCCGGGAGAGGUGAGUGGAAUUCCCAGUGUAGCGGUGAAAUGCGUAGAUAUUGGGAGGAACACCAGUGGCGAAGGCGGCUCACUGGACCGGAACUGACGCUGAGGCGCGAAAGCGUGGGGAGCAAACAG
rnacentral:rRNA from 1 species